CCUACGGGGGGCAGCAGUGGGGAAUAUUGGACAAUGGGGGGAACCCUGAUCCAGCCAUGCCGCGUGUGUGAAGAAGGCCCUCGGGUUGUAAAGCACUUUCAGUGAGGAAGAACGCCUGGUGGUUAAUACCCAUCAGGAAAGACAUCACUCACAGAAGAAGCACCGGCUAACUCCGUGCCAGCAGCCGCGGUAAUACGGAGGGUGCGAGCGUUAAUCGGAAUUACUGGGCGUAAAGCGCGCGUAGGUGGCUUGAUAAGCCGGUUGUGAAAGCCCCGGGCUCAACCUGGGAACGGCAUCCGGAACUGUCAAGCUAGAGUGCAGAAGAGGAAGGUAGAAUUCCCGGUGUAGCGGUGAAAUGCGUAGAGAUCGGGAGGAAUACCAGUGGCGAAGGCGGCCUUCUGGACUGACACUGACACUGAGGUGCGAAAGCGUGGGUAGCAAACAGGAUUAGAUACCCUUGUAGUC
rnacentral:rRNA from 1 species